CCGCAAACUCCCCGAAGCCGUCGGUGCCACUCCCAGCCCCUGUGGGCCCCCGCGGGCUGCCCACCCCUGUCCCCCAGCUCCCCGUUCCGCUGGGCUUUCCCCUCGCCAGGGGUGGCUUGCUGAGCCGCGCGCUCCGUGCCCCUCUCUGCAGCCGCGCGCUCCGUGCCCCUCUCUGCCACUCGGGGCCCCCGUUCCCCCUCCCGGCGGCGGGGGGCUGCCCCCCGGGGGGCUGGCGGAGCUGGACCGCGGAGGCCCCGGGGCCGGUGGUGCUGGGGUCAUCGGGAUGAUGUGGACGCAGUGUCUGCUGGGGCUGCGCACUUUCGUGGCCUUCGCCGCCAAGCUCUGGAGCUUCUUCAUUUACCUUUUGCGGAGGCAGAUCCGUAUGGUAAUUCAGUACCAAACUGUUCGAUAUGAUAUCCUCCCGUUAUCUCCUGUGUCCCGGAAUCGGCUAGCCCAGGUGAAGUGGAAGAUCCUGGUGCUGGAUCUGGAUGAAACACUUAUUCACUCCCACCAUGAUGGGGUCCUGAGGCCCACAGUCCGGCCUGGUACGCCUCCUGACUUCAUCCUCAAGGUGGUAAUGGACAAACAUCCUGUCCGGUUUUUUGUACAUAAGAGGCCUCGUGUGGAUUUCUUCCUGGAAGUGGUGAGCCAGUGGUACGAGCUGGUCGUGUUUACGGCAAGCAUGGAGAUCUAUGGCUCUGCUGUGGCAGGUAAACUGGACAAUAGCAGAAGCAUUCUUAAGAGGAGAUACUACAGACAGCACUGCGCUUUGGAGUUGGGCAGCUAAAUCAAGGACCUCUCUGUGGUCCACAGUGACCUCUCCAGCAUUGUGAUCCUGGAUAACUCCCCAGGGGCUUACAGGAGCCAUCCAGACAAUGCCAUCCCCAUCAAAUCCUGGUUCAGUGACCCCAGUGACAUAGCCCUUCUCAACCUGCUCCCGAUGCUGGAUGCCCUCAGGUUCACCGCUGAUGUUCGGUCCGUGCUGAGCCGAAACCUUCACCAACAUCGGCUCUGGUGACAGCUGCUCCCCCUCCACCUGAGUUGGAGUAGGGGGGACAGGGAGGGCGAGCUCUUGGGAUGCCGUCUGAU